GAAAAUGGCUAAUUGGGUCCAAUUUUGACAUUUUCACUUAGGGGUGUACUCACUUUUGUUGCCAGCGGUUUAGACAUUAAUGGCUGUGCGUUGAGUUGUUUUGAGGGGACAGCAAAUUUACACUGUUAUACAGGCUGUACACUCACUACUUUACAUUGUAGCAAAGUGUCAUUUCUUCAGUGUUGUCACAUGAAAAGAUAUACUCAAAUAUUUACAAAAAUGUGAGGGGUGUACUCACUUUUGUGAUAUACUGUAUAAUAUACUGUAUGUACCUCCUUCCUGCUACAUUUACAGUCCUAAAGCAAUAUGUUCUGUAUAGUUUUAAACAAUGGCUGUUACAUUAUAACUAGUGACAUAUCUUGUCAUUGAAGUGAUUUCUAGUUCAUCUGUUGUUGACACCAGAGAGACAAUAGUCUUAUUCAAUAUCCUGGUAAUAUUCCAUCCAGAUAGUGGACCAGUGACAUGUUACUGGACCAGCAUCAAGUGUAGAUUAAUUAUGGAGCUGUGACACUUCAUUUAUACAUGGGAAGACUACAUCUCACUGGGCAAAACAUCAAGUGAUUGAUGGAUAAAACUCUGCGAUUAAUUGGGUGAUCUAAUUUCUCCCGCACUGAAAUGGAAGUCCGGGCCGAUCCCAGAUCAGGCUGAGCAAGUCAAAACUUUGCCAUGCGAGGGCGGAGGCACAAAGGGAGCUGUAAAACACCAGAGUGGAGAAUACACUGAAGUCAAUAGCCCGCACUGACUGAAACUUUAGAUUGAUUUAUAAAGGGAUUCUGUGACUCUGACCGACGCUUGAAUGUGCACUUUAAAAGGCGGGGCAAUAGCUGAGAUCCUAUAUGACAUUUCAAGCACUAUGGGACGCUUUCCCAGACACAGAUUAGGUCUAGUAAUGGACUAACAAUACAUCUCAACAGAGAAUCUCCAUUGAAAGUUAUUUUUUGUCCAGGACUAUAUAGGCUUAAUCAGUGUCUGGGAAAAAGGCCCUACGUGGUGCUAAAUGUACAGUAACAGUCAACACCAACCCCUCAUUCUGCAAUGAGGAAACAAGAAAUUGUUACUAUGUAUUUUCAUAUACACGUAAAAAGAGGGAUGGAUAUCACUCCUCCAGCUUGCAGGGGCAGUAUUCUUUCCUUCUCUGCCAGACUGGUCAGCAGCAUGAGAGACAGAGUUCAUGUGUUGUCAUGUGUUGCUGCCAUGCUGUGUUGUUGUCUUAGGUCUCUCUUUAUGUAGUGUUGUGGUGUCUUAGGUCUCUCUUUAUGAAAUAUUGUGGUGUCUUAGGUCUCUCUUGGUGUAGUGUUGUGGUGUCUUAGGUCUCUCUUUAUGUAGUGUUGUGGUGUCUUAGGUCUCUCUUUAUGUAGUGUUGUGGUGUCUUAGGUCUCUCUUUAUGUAGUGUUGUGGUGUCUUAGGUCUCUCUUUAUGUAGUGUUGUGGUGUCUUAGGUCUCUCUUUAUGUAGUGUUGUGGUGUCUUAGGUCUCUCUUUAUGUAGUGUUGUGGUGUCUUAGGUCUCUCUUUAUGUAGUGUUGUGGUGUCUUAGCUCUCUCUUUAUGUAGUGUUGUGGUGUCUUAGGUCUCUCUUUAUGUAGUGUUGUGGUGUCUUAGGUCUCUCUUUAUUAAGUGUUGUGGUGUCUUAGGUCUCUCUUUAUGUAGUGUUGUGGUGUCUUAGGUCUCUCUUUAUUAAGUGUUGUGGUGUCUUAGGUCUCUCUUUAUGUAGUGUUGUGGUGUCUUAGGUCUCUCUUUAUGAAGUGUUGUGGUGUCUUAGGUCUCUCUUUAUGAAGUGUUGUGGUGUCUUAGGUCUCUCUUUAUGAAGUUUUGUGCUGUCUUAGGACUCUCUUUAUGAAGUUUUGUGGUGUCUUAGGUCUCUCUUUAUGAAGUGUUGUGGUGUCUUAGGUCUCUUUAUGUAGUGUUGUGGUGUCUUAGGUCUCUCUUUAUGUAGUGUUGUGGUGUCUUAGGUCUCUCUUUAUGUAGUGUUGUGGUGUCUUAGGUCUCUCUUUAUGUAGUGUUGUGGUGUCUUAGGUCUCUCUUUAUGUAGUGUUGUGGUGUCUUAGGUCUCUCUUUAUGAAGUGUUGUGGUGUCUUAGGUCUCUCUUUAUGAAGUGUUGUGGUGUCUUAGGUCUCUCUUUAUGAAGUGUUGUGGUGUCUUAGGUCUCUCUUUAUGUAGUGUUGUGGUGUCUUAGGUCUCUCUUUAUUAAGUGUUGUGGUGUCUUAGGUCUCUCUUUAUGUAGUGUUGUGGUGUCUUAGGUCUCUCUUUAUGAAGUGUUGUGGUGUCUUAGGUCUCUUUUUAUGAAAUGUUGUGGUGUCUUAGGUCUCUCUUUAUGAAGUGUUGUGGUGUCUUAGGUCUCUUUUUAUGAAAUGUUGUGGUGUCUUAGGUCUCUCUUUAUGAAGUGUUGUGGUGUCUUAGGUCUCUUUAUGUAGUGUUGUGGUGUCUUAGGUCUCUCUUUAUGUAGUGUUGUGGUGUCUUAGCUCUCUCUUUAUGUAGUGUUGUGGUGUCUUAGGUCUCUCUUUAUGUAGUGUUGUGGUGUCUUAGGUCUCUCUUUAUUAAGUGUUGUGGUGUCUUAGGUCUCUCUUUAUGUAGUGUUGUGGUGUCUUAGGUCUCUCUUUAUGUAGUGUUGUGGUGUCUUAGGUCUCUCUUUAUGAAGUGUUGUGGUGUCUUAGGUCUCUUUUUAUGAAAUGUUGUGGUGUCUUAGGUCUCUCUUUAUGAAGUGUUGUGGUGUCUUAGGUCUCUCUUUAUGAAGUGUUGUGGUGUCUUAGGUCUCUCUUUAUGAAGUGUUGUGGUGUCUUAGGUCUCUCUUUAUGAAAUGUUGUUGUGUCUUAGGUCUCUCUUUAUGAAAUGUUGUGGUGUCUUAGGUCUCUCUUUAUGAAGUGUUGUGGUGUCUUAGGUCUCUCUUUAUGAUGUUUUGUGCUGUCUUAGGUCUCUCUUUAUGAAGUUUUGUGGUGUCUUAGGUCUCUCUUUAUGAAAUGUUGUUGUGUCUUAGGUCUCUCUUUAUGAAAUGUUGUUGUGUCUCUUGUUGUGAUGUGUGUUUUGUACUACAGUUUUAUUUUUUAUUCCAGCGCCAGUCCCAGUAGAAAGCCUUUUGUCUCUUGGUAGGCCAGCAUUGUAAAUCAGAAUUUGUUCUUAACAGACUUGCCUAGUUUUAAAUAAAAGUUCAUAAAAAAAUAAUAAAACCAAUCCCAGCGUUCAGAUCAAUUAGGUGGCCAUUCAAUGUGACGUAACCCAACACAAAGAAGUCCUGUUUUCCGGGUGAGGUUAAAGCACGGGUGAGCAGGCAGUAACACAAGGAGGACACCAAAUCCAGUCCAGUUAUCUGGCUCGUGUCCGACUGUUUCCUAGGAGAAGAGAGGAGGAACAUAGAGGAGACAUUUAGUGUUUAUUCCUCACUAUUAACAUUAAAACAUUUUCAUCAUAGGCAGAGCUAGAACCACAGUGUGUGGUUGAACAUAGAUACUAAUCUGCCAUCCUGAGCUUCCAAAGUCAUGACAGUUCUCUGAUGUGACAGGCUAGAGAGACUACUGUCAGUCUGGAUUUCCACCACAGGCCAGGAUGUCUGCCUAUUUAGUCAUUGACAGGUCCACACUUCCUGGGACAAUUCCUCUGAUUCACUUCCUUGCUUCAAUAAAGAAACAGGUUGCUCAAUUUAUUACAAAAAACAAACAGAUUAAUCUGUUUAAAUAAUCAGUUUCCUUUUCAAUCAGUUUCCUUCAAUCACCAGUCACCACCAUAGACAGGGAGAUCUGCUUCAUAGGAAACACUUUCAUCAUGUCUCAUUUGAACGUGUACAAAUGAAUGCCACGUUUACACCAUAAUCUUCUGUCAUUCAGGAAGUUCAAACAGAAUUGAUUGACUCAACCCUUCAUCUAACGGUCUGGGCCUUUAGAGUAACACCAUGUAGGUUAUUGUUGUACAGUAAUAGUUACUUUGUGGUUUCCUUUCACUAGACAUGUUGAAGCCAGGCAGGUAGUGUUGCCUGUACCUGGUGAGCUGUUCUCCAAGAUGGCGCUGGCUCUGACUUUCUUUACUCAUUACUGGGAGCAGUGUGAUGAUGGAGGUAAUGGCUGUAACAUGCACUCACCUCUCUGGGACGGCACAGAUCGUCACGUGUGAGAUGUCAACAUGCCUGGCUAUCACUCUCUUAGUAUCAUACAGGAAGAGACAGUGAAAUAUUGUCUAUAUAUUUAGGUCUGAGCUUACAUGAUGGAAUAUAGUUUCAGUGGCAGGGUUUUCUUCAUUUAAAGUAAACAGGAAGGAAGAGACGGACGCAGCUUCCCUUUGUGAAGAUGAAACAACACACCUGACAUGUUUCAUACUCCCAGGUGUCAGGUUACAGCGUGUGAACCUGUUCUACAUUUAAAUGAUGUCAUGUCUCAAGCUCAAGAAAUGUGUGAAACAUGUCUGUCACGUUCUGUUUUUUAACCGUGCUCAUCUGUAACGCAACUUCCUGCACAUGUUGAGAGUAGGUUAGAGUUAAUGGUCGAUUACAGAGUUAAUUAAAAUAUUGUAAUGUA